ACAUUAACAUAACAAAUAGUAGAAGCCCCACAUAGUUACGUCAAGAAGCCCAACUUGCCAUGACAACUUGAUGAAGUAGCAAUCACACACAUCUACUUCAAGGCACCGUUUAAUUAUCGCUAGAAGCGAAACAUGAUAAUUAAUAAGUAUAAUAUAUUUUAUAUUUAGGAAUAAUUUUAUUUUAAAUUUCAAAAUUUAUUAUUGGUGAGAUAAUAGGGUGCAGCGAUAAUAGGGCACGCUUCCAGGGCAGCAACAACCGGUCCUAGACUAGAGGGAGGGACUCUUUCAGCAGGUACAUUGGCACAUUUGUCGGGCAUCCAGAUCCAAGCUCCAGCCUCGACCUCAUUGAUAUUUUCGAAGAGCAUUCGAUUUAAACGAUCACCAAGAUACUUAUAUAGAGCAUCCGGUUAAAGGUCCGAGAAACAGAGGCCAGCAUUAAUAUCGAGCUUGGAGCAGUCUAAUCCGGAGAUAGGGUGAGCACAUGGUGUUUUAGAUGGGGUGAGCACAUGGUGUUUUAUACAAUUUAAGUCUCCAUCCAUAUAUAUAGACUUGUCUUUUGCCUUUCGAGAUGACCCAGUUUCUGUGCUCCACUUUUGGGACUUGUACUCGUUUUGUUAGUAGCUUUUUACUAGUGACUUUCAGGUUCUGAAAGAGAUUUUUAUUGUAUAUAUAUAUUUUGGUUUGCUUCUCCCUGUUUAUAUUGUUAUUUUAAA